UACGUAUGGUGCAAGCGUUAUCCGGAUUUACUGGGUGUAAAGGGAGCGUAGACGGAUAGGCAAGUCUGGAGUGAAAGCCCGGGGCUCAACCCCGGGUCUGCUUUGGAAACUGUUUAUCUAGAGUGCUGGAGAGGUAAGUGGAAUUCCUAGUGUAGCGGUGAAAUGCGUAGAUAUUAGGAGGAACACCAGUGGCGAAGGCGGCUUACUGGACAGUAACUGACGUUGAGGCUCGAAAGCGUGGGGAGCAAACAGG
rnacentral:rRNA from 1 species